rnacentral:rRNA from 1 species
GGACAGUGAUGGUAUCUAAACUCGUACGACUAUGUGUGAGAUAUGUAGUUCGGAUUCGGCGACACGGCUGGGGAUGUGCAUCCUGGAAAGGUGCGCCAUGGUAGGUGAUAGUCCUGUCUUCUCCCGCGAUUCUCGUCAAAGAAUUCCGCAGCCAGUCACACUCCUCAAUACUGGAGUGUAAAAGUGGGUGAUACACUUCAUCUGCAUCUAGAUACUCGUUCGAGUCCGAUAGUGAACAAGUACCGUGAGGGAAAGGUGAAAAAUACUUUGAAGAGAGGGUUAAAAUAUGUUGAACCCGGCGAGGAGGAAGUACGUGUGUGAAUGUGAGAAUUCGAAUGUAUUUCGAAUUUACAGGUUUUGGUAUAGCGGUUCUCAUAUGAGACUUAACCUCCUGUUCUGGUGAUGUUAACGAGUCAUAUUUUGCCCGCUAUUUCAAAAGAGAGUUGAUGAUACUUGGAGCUGUGGGCUUAGUGUAGCAUUGUUUACUUCUAUGCUCAUGCUUCGGGGAGUAGACUACCUCUUUUUUUUUCAUCCACGUAGCCCGUCUUGAAACACGGACCAAGGAGUCUAGCACGUCUGCGAGUUAAAGUGUGGAUAAACGCGUAGCAAAACGAAAGUGAGGUAGAAGGCAACUACCACCAAGAUUUAACAUUUUGUGUGAGUGUAAGCGAACUUGCUAGGACCCGAAAGGUGGUGAACUAUACCUGAGAAAAGUGAAGUCAGGGGAAACCUUGAUGGAAGCUUUCAGCGGUUCUGACGUGCAAAUCGAUCGUGGUACUCGGGUAUAGGGGCGAAAGACUAAUCGAACCGCCUAGUAGCUGGUUCCUCCCGAAGUUUCCCUCAGGAUAGCAGAAUAAACAGACAGUUUUGUCCGGUAAAGCUAAUGAUUAGAAGACUAGGGAUGUAAUACAUCUCGUCUUAUUCUCAAACUUUAAAUAGGCAAGUACUCUCUCUUUUCUUUAAUGAAGUGAGCGAUUAAAUGUCGAAUUCUAGUGGGCCAUUUUUGGUAAGCAGAACUGGCGAUGAGGAAUAAACCUAAUGUCAGGAUAACGUGCAUUAAUACGCGCUCAUGAGAUAUCAGAAAGGGUGUUGGUCGAUCUAGACAGCAGGACGGUGGUCAUGGAAGUUGAAAUCCGCUAAGGAGUGUGUAACAACUCACCUGCCGAAUCGACUAGCCCCGAAAAUGGAUUGCGCUGGAGCGAGUUACGGAUACCUGACCGCUAAGGAAGAUCUUCUUAGCGUGUAGGGAGGUG